UACGUAGGGUGCAAGCGUUGUCCGGAAUUAUUGGGCGUAAAGAGCUCGUAGGCGGUUUGUCGCGUCUGCUGUGAAAUCUGGGGGCUCAACCCCCCAGCCUGCAGUGGGUACGGGCAGACUAGAGUGCGGUAGGGGAGAUUGGAAUUCCUGGUGUAGCGGUGAAAUGCGCAGAUAUCAGGAGGAACACCGAUGGCGAAGGCAGGUCUCUGGGCUGUAACUGACGCUGAGGAGCGAAAGCGUGGGGAGCGAACAGG
rnacentral:rRNA from 1 species